rnacentral:rRNA from 1 species
CCUACGGGUGGCAGCAGUGGGGAAUAUUGGACAAUGGGCGAAAGCCUGAUCCAGCAAUACCGAGUGGGUGAUGAAGGCCUUAGGGUUGUAAAGCCCUUUUCAGCAGGGAAGAUAAUGACGGUACCUGACCAAGAAAGCCCCGGCUAACUCCGUGCCAGCAGCCGCGGUAAGACGGAGGGGGCUAGCGUUGUUCGGAAUUACUGGGCGUAAAGAGUGCGUAGGCGGUUUUGUAAGUUGGAAGUGAAAGCCCGAGGCUUAACCUCGGAACUGCUUUCAAAACUGCUAAUCUAGAGUGUAGUAGGGGAUGAUGGAAUUCCUAGUGUAGAGGUGAAAUUCUUAGAUAUUAGGAGGAACACCGGUGGCGAAGGCGGUCAUCUAGGCUACAACUGACGCUGAUGCACGAAAGCGUGGGGAGCAAACAGGAUUAGAUACCCGUGUAGU